rnacentral:lncRNA from 1 species
AGGUCAUAGGUGCUGCAAUCUAGAGACAAAAUAUUCCUUACACUGCCAGAUACUUGCAAACUAAGGGGAACGAGCUUCCCUCUGAAUGUUUAUGAAGGAGAGACCACUGUGGAUAGACAGUGAAGUGCAACUACAGCCCGCAAAUGAAAAUGAAUAAAAUUAAUCCAGCCCCUCAAGGCAGUCAUCUGUCUUAGAGCUAUUGGAAUCCUGGAUCAUUGUGGGAAAUGAAAAAUACUUCGAUGGAAUCAGCAGCCAUUGAUCCAAUGCCAACUCCAAGACUGGAACGUCGCAAUGAUAGUUCCAAGGCGGAAAUUUGACGUAAUUCUUUUCGACACAGUUUUACAGGUCUGGAUGCCCAUUUUAAUUCUUCUGAAAGCAUGCCUCCUUCUGGCUUCAGGACUCCAUCUCCAGCCUUAUGAUCUAAAAAUAAUCCCCAAACCAAAAAA